AUUGAACGCUGGCGGCAUGCCUUACACAUGCAAGUCGAACGGUAACAGGUCUUCGGAUGCUGACGAGUGGCGAACGGGUGAGUAAUACAUCGGAACGUGCCCGAUCGUGGGGGAUAACGGAGCGAAAGCUUUGCUAAUACCGCAUACGAUCUACGGAUGAAAGCAGGGGACCGCAAGGCCUUGCGCGGACGGAGCGGCCGAUGGCAGAUUAGGUAGUUGGUGGGAUAAAAGCUUACCAAGCCGACGAUCUGUAGCUGGUCUGAGAGGACGACCAGCCACACUGGGACUGAGACACGGCCCAGACUCCUACGGGAGGCAGCAGUGGGGAAUAUUGGACAAUGGGCGCAAGCCUGAUCCAGCAAUGCCGCGUGUGUGAAGAAGGCCUGCGGGUUGUAAAGCACUUUCAGUGGGGAAGAACAGGUUCGGGUCAAUACCCCGGAGCCCUGACGUUACCCACAGAAGAAGCACCGGCUAACUCCGUGCCAGCAGCCG
rnacentral:rRNA from 1 species